rnacentral:rRNA from 1 species
UGGGGAAUAUUGGACAAUGGGCGCAAGCCUGAUCCAGCAAUGCCGCGUGAGUGAUGAAGGCCUUAGGGUUGUAAAGCUCUUUCGCACGCGACGAUGAUGACGGUAGCGUGAGAAGAAGCCCCGGCUAACUUCGUGCCAGCAGCCGCGGCAAUACNAAGGGGGCUAGCGUUGUUCGGAAUUACUGGGCGUAAAGGGCGCGUAGGCGGCCUGUUUAGUCAGAAGUGAAAGCCCCGGGCUCAACCUGGGAAUAGCUUUUGAUACUGGCAGGCUUGAGUUCCGGAGAGGAUGGUGGAAUUCCCAGUGUAGAGGUGAAAUUCGUAGAUAUUGGGAAGAACACCGGUGGCGAAGGCGGCCAUCUGGACGGACACUGACGCUGAGGCGCGAAAGCGUGGGGAGCAAACAGAUUAGAUACCCUGNAGUCCACGCGUAAACGNUGAAUGCUNGACGUCGGGUNCAUNCACUUCGGUGUCGCCGCUAACGCAUUAAGCAUUCCGCUUGGGGAGUACGGCCGCAAGGUUAAAACUC